UUCCAAAUGGCAUUUUCUGUUGGUUUUAUCACCAUAGCAACCAUUUUAUUUUUGGGUCCCUUGGGUGUGACGAUCAGGUUUAUUUCAUUUUUGUAAAAUUUUUGUAAAGUAAAAUUUUUGAUUCGAUGGGCAACGGAGGAAUUUCCUAAUAUUUUUAUUUAGUAUGUUUUGUUGUUAUGCUCAUGUAUUAAAUUUAGCAAUAUUCCAGGAAAAAAAUGUGGAAGCCACUUUUGCAAGCUUGCUACAUGAACGCUGGUCCAAGUUACUCCUGUUACUUCUACAGCUGUGGCCGUAUUUGGUUUUGUUUUUUCGUUUUGUUCUGUGUUUUGUGCAUUUCUGUCAGAAUGGGACUUCUGUGUAUUUGUGGAUCUUUGUGUGUCUGUCUUUGUUGAUUUGUUUCAGGUGUGGUGCUGGAAGGGCGGGGCUCCCAUUGGUCUCCAUUGAUGGAGAGAGCCUCUAAAUCCACCAUGAAGACCUCCAGACCACGAGAAGGGAGCUGGGCUGCAGCCAGUCUCCACUGCAGUAUGAUGGAGUCCCAACGUGCAGUGGAGGCCUCAGUCCAUCUCUCUGACAGCAGCUGUCGUUCGUGGGACGGCAGCCAGGUCUGGCUGCAGCUGCAUGGAGUCACAGGGACCUCCUCCAGCCGAGGACAUGGAGUGCUCCUGCACCCCUGCACCGUGGCAUCAGUAUUCCAGACCCGUUCAUGGACACAACGUUCCUGCUGAAGGCUGCUGCUCCUCCUGCCCUGCACCACCAGGGGGCGCUCAACUCGCAACCAAAUCUGGGGGAGCGUGCAUAUAGCUCUCAGUUGCCAGUCAACUUUACAUGACCGAAAAAUAACCUGGGUUUGUUCUCCACCUUUACCUGCAACAAGCUUCUAAAGAAAAGACUGCAUCAUUUUUCUGGUUCGGCUUUCUGCUUCAGCAGCAUCCAAAUAUCAAGAUCAGGGUGAAAACAUCUUUAAUCGUCAGGUCUUUUUUGUGGAAAAUCUACAACAGAUCCACUAAUAACUUCACAUCUGAAGCAGUUGUGUAGUGAUCGUCUUCCUGAACUCUGACAGUUUCCCUCCUUUUGACUCCUUGAUGACUGAAGCAGCAGCAUCAUAGAUGAGAAGAAGAAGCAGUAAAAUCCAAAAACAGCAAAGGUGUCGUCAGUGUGUGCAGAAGUCAUGUCUGGAGUCUUUCCGAGACUCCUUGGCUUGGUUCUUUCUGCUGAAAGGGUUCCACCGUUCCCCCUCCUCAAAAAAAGAAAGCGAACAGAGACGGGGGAAAAAGACGAGAAGGUUCUAUUAAAAGAAUAGAUAUUACACUACGGCUGGCUGUCUGCGUUUCCGGCGCUGCUGCCACCAGGAAGACCUUCUCUGGUUCUUGACCUUCAAGUCGACAAAUACUGAGAGUCUUUUCUCGAGUUUCCAACAGCACUUGGUUUAGAAAUGCCCCCCCCCCCAGCUGUCUGUGUCCUCCAACCCUGUAUGGAAAAAACAACAAAAAACAAAUCAAAAUGACAGGAAACGCUCUGGGAACAGCGUGGCGUGUUCCUGCGCCGCUCGGUCCAGGAGAACCGCUG